UGGGGAAUUUUGGACAAUGGGGGCAACCCUGAUCCAGCAAUGCCGCGUGAGUGAAGAAGGCCUUCGGGUUGUAAAGCUCUUUCGGCGGGGACGAAACGGUCCGUGACAACACCACGGACUAAUGACAGUACUCGCAGAAGAAGCACCGGCUAACUACGUGCCAGCAGCCGCGGUAAUACGUAGGGUGCAGGCGUUAAUCGGAAUUACUAGGCGUAAAGCGUGCGCAGGCGGCUCCUUAAGUCAGAUGUGAAAUCCCCGGGCUUAACCUGGGAACUGCGUUUGAAACUGAGGGGCUAGAGUGUGGAAGAGGGGGGUGGAAUUCCAGGUGUAGCAGUGAAAUGCGUAGAGAUCUGGAGGAACACCGAUGGCGAAGGCAGCCCCCUGGGCUAACACUGACGCUCAUGCACGAAAGCGUGGGGAGCAAACAGGAUUAGAUACCCAGGUAGUCCCUGAGCGGGCUGGCAAGGCGCAU
rnacentral:rRNA from 1 species